rnacentral:lncRNA from 1 species
UAUUUAUGAUGAUUGCAAACGUGUUCUUAUUAUUUGAAACUUAACUACAAGUUUUAAUUACUAAAGAUAUUUUCUCCAUAUUGAUUUACUACAUUUCAGUCUUGUCAUUGUACUCAACAAAAUCCACAAACACAGAACCCCUAAGCGAAUGUAGUCUUAUCAACGCAUAUGAAAAUUGUUAUCACUCAGACUGAGCUCUCUACUUAUUUCAUAGACUCAUGAAUGUGUUUUUCUUAAUACUCAGGUUUUAUUGAUUAUAUAUUUCACUUGCUUUUCAGGCUCUAAGGACGUACAUGCUUCCUACAAGGUAAUUCAUGUUCUAUGUUUAUGUGAUAUUAUUAACAGUAUGCUGGGUGUACUGUGAAAUACUUACAUAAUAUCUUCUCUCCGUGCACAUCAAGCCGACCACCAAAAGCAAAGAUACAGAUCCCAAAAAACCAAAACGGAACAAUGGCACAAAAACACUGGAAUCAGAGUCACAUGAGAAUAUGUCAUCAUCACGAGAGAAGGAAAGGCUUGAUGGCACGGAAAAGAGCAAUCAGCAGAGUGUCUGUGAGAAACCUCCAGAGGUUUGGGCUUCUAGAAUAUCUGGUGGGUUCCAUUCACGAGCAAAGAAUAGAAUAAAUGGACAUAGAGAAGAUACAGGACAUGUAUCUUUGCACAAGGGUGAAAAAGAAAACAUUCUAUUGCCUAAAACAAAGGAAGCAGGAUUAGAAGAUGUGCCAGGGUCCCAGACGGGCUCUAAGGACGUACAUGCUUCCUACAAGCCGACCAUCAAAAGCAAAGAUACAGAUCCCCCAAAACCAAAAUGGAAGAAUGGAACAAAAAUACUGGAAUCAGGUAACUGUUGCAGUACAGCUUCCAAGAAACUGCCUAUGUUUAAACCUUGGAAAUGAUAGCAAUCUUCUAACUCCUGAUAUAUCCAUUUUCUGACAUGUGUUGGUUGGAGUUGCCCCA